rnacentral:rRNA from 1 species
GGAUGAACGCUAGCGGGAGGCUUAACACAUGCAAGUCGAGGGGUAAGGUCUCUUCGGAGAAUACACGACCGGCGCACGGGUGAGUAACGCGUAUGCAACCUACCUAUAACACAAGGAUAGCUCCCGGAAACGGGAAUUAAUACUUGAUGACAUUCAAAGAUGGCAUCAUCAAUGAAUCAAAGUUCCGGCGGUUAUAGAUGGGCAUGCGUGACAUUAGCUAGUUGGUGAGGUAGAGGCUCACCAAGGCGACGAUGUCUAGGGGGUCUGAGAGGAUGAUCCCCCACACUGGUACUGAGACACGGACCAGACUCCUACGGGAGGCAGCAGUGAGGAAUAUUGCGCAAUGGAGGAAACUCUGACGCAGCCAUCCCGCGUGCAGGAUUGACGGCCCUAUGGGUUGUAAACUGCUUUUCUAUACCAAGAAACACCGAUACGUGUAUCGGUUUGCCGGUAGUAUAGGAAUAAGCAUCGGCUAACUCCGUGCCAGCAGCCGCGGUAAUACGGAGGAUGCAAGCGUUAUCCGGAAUCACUGGGUUUAAAGGGUGCGCAGGCGGAAUAGUAAGUCAGAGGUGAAAGCCCACAGCUCAACUGUGGAAUUGCCUUUGAUACUGUUAUUCUUGAGUGUAGUUGAAGUAGGCGGAAUAUAGCAUGUAGCGGUGAAAUGCAUAGAUAUGCUAUAGAACACCAAUUGCGAAGGCAGCUUGCUAAACUAUAACUGACGCUGAGGCACGAAAGCGUGGGGAGCGAACAGGAUUAGAUACCCUGGUAGUCCACGCCGUAAACUAUGAACACUCGCUGUUGGCAAUACACAGUCAGCGGCUGAGCGAAAGCGUUAAGUGUUCCACCUGGGAAGUACGAUCGCAAGGUUGAAACUCGAAGGAAUUGACGGGGGCCCGCACAAGCGGAGGAGCAUGUGGUUUAAAUUCGAUGACACGCGGAGGACAUUACCUGGGCUUGAAUGUGUGUGACGGGCUGAGAAAGCGCUAUUUCUUUGGGCGAACGAGCAAGCUGCUGCAUGAUGGUCGUCAGGUUCGUGCUGCGAGGAGUCGGUCGAAGUACUAUGGCGAGGCGACCCACUAGUUUUAUCUACCAGCAUUUCGGAUGGGUACUCUAGAGGGAGUGCCUGCGCAAGUAGAGAGGAAGGUGGGGAUGACG